UGGGAAGUAUUGGGCAAUGGGCGCAAGCCUGACCCAGCAACGCCGCGUGAAGGAAGAAGGCUUUCGGGUUGUAAACUUCUUUUCUCAGGGACGAAGCAAGUGACGGUACCUGAGGAAUAAGCCACGGCUAACUACGUGCCAGCAGCCGCGGUAAUACGUAGGUUGCAAGCGUUAUCCGGAUUUACUGGGUGUAAAGGGCGUGUAGGCGGGAUCGCAAGUCAGAUGUGAAAACUGGAGGCUCAACCUCCAGCCUGCAUUUGAAACUGUGGUUCUUGAGUACUGGAGAGGCAGACGGAAUUCCUAGUGUAGCGGUGAAAUGCGUAGAUAUUAGGAGGAACACCAGUGGCGAAGGCGGUCUGCUGGACAGCAACUGACGCUGAGGCGCGAAAGCGUGGGGAGCAAACAGGAUUAGAUACCC
rnacentral:rRNA from 1 species